rnacentral:rRNA from 5 species
AGACCCGAAACCCGGUGAUCUAGCCAUGGGCAGGUUGAAGGUUGGGUAACACUAACUGGAGGACCGAACCGACUAAUGUUGAAAAAUUAGCGGAUGACCUGUGGCUGGGGGUGAAAGGCCAAUCAAACCGGGAGAUAGCUGGUUCUCCCCGAAAGCUAUUUAGGUAGCGCCUCGUGAAUUCAUCUCCGGGGGUAGAGCACUGUUUCGGCUAGGGGGCCAUCCCGGCUUACCAACCCGAUGCAAACUGCGAAUACCGGAGAAUGUUAUCACGGGAGACACACGGCGGGUGCUAACGUCCGUCGUGAAGAGGGAAACAACCCAGACCGCCAGCUAAGGUCCCAAAGUCAUGGUUAAGUGGGAAACGAUGUGGGAAGGCCCAGACAGCCAGGAUGUUGGCUUAGAAGCAGCCAUCAUUUAAAGAAAGCGUAAUAGCUCACUGGUCGAGUCGGCCUGCGCGGAAGAUGUAACGGGGCUAAACCAUGCACCGAAGCUGCGGCAGCGAACGUAUCACCCAAGACAACUUUGCGGAGUUGACGAUUGACGGAGCGAAGCGACGUCAAAGCGUUCAUUAAAGUCGAGUUGGCUUAGGGAUACGUU